GAGUUUGAUCCUGGCUCAGGAUGAACGCUAGCUACAGGCUUAACACAUGCAAGUCGAGGGGCAGCAUUUUAGUUUGCUUGCAAACUAAAGAUGGCGACCGGCGCACGGGUGAGUAACACGUAUCCAACCUGCCGAUAACUCGGGGAUAGCCUUUCGAAAGAAAGAUUAAUAUCCGAUGGUAUAUUAAAACCGCAUGGUUUUACUAUUAAAGAAUUUCGGUUAUCGAUGGGGAUGCGUUCCAUUAGUUGUUGGCGGGGUAACAGCCCACCAAGACUACGAUGGAUAGGGGUUCUGAGAGGAAGGUCCCCCACAUUGGAACUGAGACACGGUCCAAACUCCUACGGGAGGCAGCAGUGAGGAAUAUUGGUCAAUGGGCGUUAGCCUGAACCAGCCAAGUAGCGUGAAGGAUGAAGGCUCUAUGGGUCGUAAACUUCUUUUAUAUAAGGAAUAAAGUGCAGUAUGUAUACUGUUUUGUAUGUAUUAUAU
rnacentral:rRNA from 1 species